AACGAACGCUGGCGGCAUGCCUAACACAUGCAAGUCGAACGAAGCCUUCGGGCUUAGUGGCGCACGGGUGCGUAACGCGUGGGAAUCUGCCCUUUGGUUCGGAAUAACAGUUGGAAACUACUGCUAAUACCGGAUGAUGACGAAAGUCCAAAGAUUUAUCGCCAGAGGAUGAGCCCGCGUAGGAUUAGCUAGUUGGUGUGGUAAAGGCGCACCAAGGCGACGAUCCUUAGCUGGUCUGAGAGGAUGAUCAGCCACACUGGGACUGAGACACGGCCCAGACUCCUACGGGAGGCAGCAGUGGGGAAUAUUGGACAAUGGGCGAAAGCCUGAUCCAGCAAUGCCGCGUGAGUGAUGAAGGCCCUAGGGUUGUAAAGCUCUUUUACCCGGGAUGAUAAUGACAGUACCGGGAGAAUAAGCCCCGGCUAACUCCGUGCCAGCCGCCGCAGUAA
rnacentral:rRNA from 1 species